AUCUAUAAAUCGAUUAUAAAUGGAUUCUGACUUGUAGUUUUGUUCUUUGGAAGGCUUUUGACGAUAAUAAUCUCAAUCAAAAAUGAGAUCCCAGAGGGUUAUGUGCCCGUAUGUUGAUUAAUCAGAGGCUAACUUCAAGGAUGUCACAGAGUAGCGCUCUUUGAUAAUAGAGCUCGAAGCGUGUGGUGAUACUCAUAAUAGACUCAUCAUUGGUGAGAGACCAUUAGCGUACAAGUACCGUGAGGGAAAGAUGAAAAGAACUUUGGAGAGAGAGUUAAAACGUAUGUACAGAUGUUAGUAGAAAGCGGAUCAAGUUCAUGAGCAUUUUUUCAAGACAAUUCUAUCCAACUUAUAAUACUCUAAGAUUAGAUAUAAGUUAUCAGGCUGGCUAGUCAAGAUGAGACGUAACAAUGCUUCUACCCAAUCUGAUCCGACCCGUCUGGAAACACGGACCAAGGAGUCUAGUAUUGGUGCAGGUAAUUGAAAAGCUAAAAUUCUUUAACACAAGUAAUGUAGAUCGUGUUCAUCGUGUCAUGAUGAUAGUAUCGCGGGCAGUGUUUUUUACCUAGCAAGAGCAUGGAU
rnacentral:rRNA from 1 species